AAACUGACUCUGCCUUCAUGGAGCUUCCUGUCCAGUGGUAAAAACAGGCAGAGAGAGCUGCAGAAACACAGAGUGAAAGCAAUAACUCAGAUUUGGAAUAUUAUAUAGAUAAGGUUAUGAUUAAUAGAACUCAAAUUCCUUUAAAGGUAGUAGUCUCUGUCUGCUAUUAAGCAUUUGCUCUACCAAUGCAUUCCUAAAUGUAUUUUUAUCUACAUGACUAUACAUGUUUUCAGAUUCAAAUGUGCUCUCCUGACUAAAAAGAUUGGAUACCACUGACCUAAAUCAUCUGCUAGGAUUGCCUUUUCUAUCCCAGGUGAAUAAAUUAAAUAGCUAUGUAGUUUUCCCUUUGCCACUGGAAGUUUCACUGAAAAAUCAACUCAUGAAAGGCAGAUUAAUAAGAGAAAAGGCAUAGAUAUUUGUUCACAUUCAUGCGAGAAUCACAGGGUGAUUUCCCAAUAUCCCAGUGGGUUACAGAUGCUUGUAUACCUACUUCUUGAGGGAAAGAGAGAUGGGACAUUGUGGAUGACUUUAGGGACAUUAGUAAAUAAUUUUCAGGGCAAUUCAAUGGCUGUGAAGAAUAUACAAUGGCCUGGGAGAAAGUCUGUUGGGCCCACAGAGCAGAGAGUAGUUUGUGAUAAAAGUCUGCCCAUGUUUGUUGACAGACUUCAGUUUUUCUUCCUGCGAUAUGAGUUCAGUUAAUGAAAAUUCAGAGAAGGGAUCAGAAGUAAUUGUUUUCGUCUUUGGUAGGUGUAGAUCUUAGGCAGAUAAGGGAAUUUCAGAGAACAGCUUCAUCCUUCUCCAUGAUAGAAGUAAAGGAUUGAGAGACAGAAGCGGGUAGAGAGGGAAAAACAAUUGUUCUCCUUGGUGGGUCCGUCUGAUCUUUACGUAGAUAGGGGGAAAGUCUCCUCCAGCAUCUGUUGAUCUCAAAGGACCUUUAAUUUAAAAUACCCAUUAUACCAGGGAGCUAUAUUUUGGGUGAAGUUUCCUGUGCUCCUUCAGCAAGAAAUAAUAUUUUACCAAUAUUCCAGUAACCCUCAGGGAACAAUUUUUUCAUAGUUCUACACUGGCUUUGCAUCACUGAAAAUUAAUCUCAGAGUUCUCUGUACCCCAUAACCCAAGAAUGCUACGUCUCUGGGGAACCCUGCAGAAACCCAGAAAGAGCAUGAUCAUUUGGUUAUAAAUUCCACCUCCCUAGUGGGCAGCCUCAUCUCUGUCCUUGACAUGGGUGAGGUUGGAGGCAAAGGUUUGUUGUUGAUUUUGGUAUGCUAUGGAAUACCAGGCCUGGAGCCACAGGACAUGACUUGUUGCUCUAUUAGACAUGCUAAAUAAGCUCCUGAAACAAAGAAAUCAAGCGAAGAUUAGAUGGGAGGAUUUUCUUGUCAAGAAUUAUGAAUGCAAAAAUAACCCUGAAAAUAUAGCUAUAGUUGAAUAGGGGCUGGGCAAGACAAUGGACAGAAAGAUUUGUUAGACAUAAGAUCCCACUUAAAUCAAAAUGAUCCACCAAGGCUCAGCUCCCAAUGGGGUCUCUAUGUGCAGAUUCAAGGGUAGAAAUAUUGUAGGGACGUUUUUAGUAUCAAUUCUGCAUUAGACAAUGUGAUAGGUAUCAAGCCUACAAAUACCAAUGAGAUAUAGUCCUUUAACUGUCUUCUUUUAGUUAAAAAAAAAAGUAAUUGUCAAUACUCAUUAAAAAUAUAAAUAAAUAAAUAGUAUUUUAAACUUUGUGACAAUGGGCAGAACAGCAACAAGGAAAGCAGGCCAAGGCACUGGGUUUGGAGUCAAGAGAUGGGUUUUAUCCUGGUUAUAUGUUGAAUUUACUUCCCACCUUGGGCAAAUCACUUCCCUAUCUAAUCAGUUUCCUAACCUGUAAAAUGACAAAAAUCACUUCCACUUCCUAGUUUUAUGAUUCCAGGUCCAAUACAAGAAGGAAUUUCUUUUAAGGGCCCCCUUAAUCUGGUCAAAGUUAUCCUUCCCAGCAGGGCAGAAACUUCACCUGUUUGCAUUAGGCCUGGGUUGUGGGAUAAGCUAUCUCCUGACAGACCCCAAGAGUCUCCAUCUUCCAGUCCUCCCCAAGUGACCCCAUGAGAAGACGUAUUAAAGGAAGGAAUUCAAAACAGUAUGGCCCAUGUAAAGAGUAUCCUUUAGGAACAGGAUCUGUUUACUUAGUGGCUGGAAACUUAAAUGCAUGCAUUGUAUACCGCCCAACCCCCAACUCCCCACCCCCACUGCUAUCAUAGCCAUUAAAAAAAGGAGCAUAGCAGAUCUCUGACAGUUAGACCUUACCCAUUUUCAGCUCUGGACUUUCACUGAGGUAAUAUCUUUACCUGUUGCCAACUAGACCUGUUGGUGUGUGUAACUGUUUCUUCAUUCUGACUCAUCACACCUUGCUUGUGGCAGCGAACCCAGGCGCCAUUGUUUCCUGGUGAUCUCUGGCCUACUUUUUCCCAAACGCUGUGAGGCAGCCAUGGAGCCUUGUGAAAGAGAUUGACUUUCUCUCAGGUAGCCAAGGGCCUUUGGGACAGCUACCUCCUGAUCCCCUUUAACCCCAGGGGGAACUCUGAAGGCUGAGCCCCUCCUAAGUUACAACAUAGAAGUUAGUUCCAGUAAAACUUUCCAGGCUCUGCUAAUUCCAUAAGGGACUCUUAAAGAAUGAGAAAUGGAAGCCCAAGGUCUGCAUAAAAUCCUACAUGUGCUAAGCCCGCCAAAAUCAGUUUGUUGAGGAGAAGGAGCACAGUAGGAAGAGCUUUUGUAUUUUCAAUUCAGAUAAACCCCAGUAAGACUAGCCAUAGGGCAACAUAGAACUGCUUAUGGUUCCAUAUAUCUUGCUGUAUUUUCAUUCCAUGCCUUACCAUUUAAAAUAUUAUUUAAUUAUCUUUUUAGUGAGUAUUGCCAAUUACCGUUUUCUUUGCUAAAAGAAGACAGUUAAAGGACUAUAUUUUCUUGGUAUGUGUAGGCUUGGUGCCUAUCACAUUCCAUUCCAAAAACAUGUGCCUAAUGUUUCUGGAAUGUCCUCUCCCAGUCCACAGCCUCUCUUCACUGAGCUAAUUGCUACUUGUCCUUAACACUCAGCUCAAACAUCACCUCCUCCAGGAAGUCUCCACUGACCUCCCCCUUUGCAUUAGAUGCCUGUCUUGAUACAUCCCCCUAAGGCGUUCUGUGUAGCUCUACCUGUGCACUUUACCAUAUUGUUACAUAUUUACCCAUCUUUCUCACCUAGGCUCUACACCUUCUGUAGAACUAACUCAUGUUAUUCAUCUUUUUUCCUCUCCAUAGCUUACUACAUGGCCUUGUAUGUUUAUUGUAUGAAUAAACAAUCUGGUUCAUCCACUUAUUAGGUGUGUGUUCUGGGCAAUUUAAUUCACUUCUCUGAGCCUCAGUUUUCUCAUCUAUUAAUUGGAAAUAACAAUCCAUGUCUCUUAGAGAUAUUGUUCAUAUGAAGAGGUGACAUAUGUAAAGGCCUUCCACAAUGCUGACACAUAGGCACAGAGUCAAUUCACCUAGGGCUGUGGAUUUGCACAGGAAAUGAAGAAAAAACACAAAAGCAGCAAGCUCAGAGCAAUGAAGACUCUUGCUGUCAGUGUGCAGACCCUUUCCUCCAUGGAUGUAUUGUCCCAACCAGCGCUCCCUUGCUGCAAGGGAGCCUGGAAGUCCUUUUUUUCCCUUUUUUUCCUUCCUUCUUUCCUUUCGUUUUCUCCUUUAUUCCUUCCUUCCUUUCUUCCUUUUUUUCUCUCUUUUCGUAAAUGAGAAACACAUGAGUGAAUCAUUUUUAUAAGUUUUCCUGGGAAUCCAGCAUCUCUAGCCAGAAUAUUAAUAACGUGGUUACUCUGAUGAUUUCUCCCAUUGACCCUAAAAACCUAGACAUUCUCUUUUAUAGGUAGGUCUCUUCAAGUGAGGUCAGCUUCUCCAGAUAAUUUCUGGUGAUUUAUGCAGACACCUUGGGGAGGAAAAAAGGAAGCAGCACUGAUCUGAGCCUCCUGGAAACUCAACAAGUGGCCUGACCCUUGAAGGGUUUCUUCACCGUGUCUGGUAAAGUUUCCAAAUUCUGGAGAUGUGGAAGCAGAGGCACAUUACCAGAAGGCCAGGUAAUAAGCAUGUUGGCAAGUACUACUGCUGGCCCUGACCCACCAUAUCAUACCACAGGACCAUCCACACCCAUCCCCUAUCCCAAAACCACACAUCCACACUCCCCACCACCACCUUAACACACACACACUGCUCAUUUCCCUCUGGAGAUAUGCAGGGCUCUCCAUGGUCAAAUGACCCUAAAUCCUCUGGUGAAUCAGGUUGAAUCAGAGCCCAUGAGUCAUCCAGAGCACAUCUAACCCAGGGUUAAUUUAUUCAGCAAUCAUUAAGAAAGCAAGUUCCUACUGCCAGGUGCCGUCCUAGGCAUGACAGGCUGAUGUUUCUAGAACAUAUUUGACAGCCUUUCUCCCCAAGUCACACCAUGAAGGAGAAACCAUUUCAGUUAAGAAUGGUGAGUCAAGAGCUUGGCAUGGAGGUAUUACCAAGGAAGAGAUCUGUGUUGAGCCUGUGUGCAGAUCCUUAGCAUUUAAUUUAUUCUGCAAGGACACACAAGGUGGUAGGAAACCACUCCAGGGAACCCACCGAAGAGUCAAGCAAAGCAGAGCAUGGGUGCAAUCACAAGUCAUAGUGUGGGGUGGAGAGGCAAGGAUGGGGGAAGAGCAAAGAAAAGGAGGACUUCCCUCAGAAGACCUGCUACUUUUAAACUCAACCUUGGCCAAAGAACCAAGAAGCACUUUAGCAACUUCCCCAUGCUCGUCUCCAAAAUUUCCUAGGAUCUGAGAGGUGGAGGAGAGGGAGCUCCUUACAGGGAAAUGAACAGAGAGUGAUGGUGGGGCCUAGUUUGGGUUAGGCAAUGUGGGCUACUGUGAGGGUUUUAAAAUAUAAAUAUGCAGAACACAGAGGGCUUUUAGGGCAGUCAACUACUUUUAUGAUACUAUAAUGGUAGAUACCUGUCAUUAUACUUUUGUCCAAACCCAUAGACUGUACAAUACCAAGAAUUAACCCCAGUGUAAACUCUGAACGUUGAGUGAUAAGGAUGUGUCAGUGUAGGUUUAUCAGUUGUAACAAAUGGGCCCCUCUGUGGGGGAUGUUGAUAAUGGGGAGGCCAUGCAUGUGUGAAGGCAGGGAGUAGAGGGGAAAUCUCUAUACUUUCCAUUCAAUUUAGCUGUGAAUCCACAACUUUCCUAAAAACUAAACUAUAUUAAAAUAAAAAAUCUUAAAUAAAAAAACCACAUGUCUGCAAAUUAUAUGACAAUCCCCUUAGAGAGAGGGAAGGCCAGCUGGGCACAGUGGCUCAUGCCUGUAAUCCCAGCACUUUGG
rnacentral:lncRNA from 10 species